CUGAUGAAACAGUGACUGUUGUCCCCUUUCCCCAAUAGUCAAAAGCACCGUAGUAGUAUCGAGCACAAAAAUAAACAGCUGAAUCCUCAGUCGUCAAGCUGUUCAUCUGCAGAUACACCUGCUUUCUGCUGUUGUCUCUGGAGAUGGUAAACCGGCCUCUGAAUG